rnacentral:rRNA from 1 species
GCUCCAAUAGUGUAUCUUAAUGUUGUUGCAGUUAAAAAGCUCGUAGUUGAAUUUCUGGCACUCCGGCUGCUUCGGGCGUGCAUGGGGAUGUCAUCCGCGUUGGAGCCGUAUGCGUUGAAAGACCAUGCGGGGAAGGCGCAUUUUACUUUGAAGAAAUUAGAGUGUUCCAGGCAGGCUAUGCUUGAAUAUUACAGCAUGGA